rnacentral:lncRNA from 1 species
GUCAGAUGUGACAUCAUGAUGACCCAGUCUCCAUCCUUGCCUGUGUCUCCUGGAGACAGAUCAAAAUCUACUGCAGGGCCAGUCAGGGUAUUAGCAAUGGAUUGCACUGGUAUCAGCAGAAACCAGGCCAAGCUCCUAAGCUCCUCAUCUAUGGUGCAACCAAUCUGCAACCUGGAGUCCCCUCAAGGUUCAGUGGCAGUGGAUCUGGGACAGAUUAUUCUCUCACCAUCAACAGCCUGGAGCCUGAAGAUGUUGACACUUAUUACUGUAAACAGUAUAAUAGUCUCCAACCCACAGUGAUACAGGCCAUGACAAAAAC